rnacentral:rRNA from 1 species
CACGGAGUUAGCCGAUCCUUAUUCCUUCGGUACAUUCAGCUAAAUACACGUAUCUAGGUUUAUUCCCGAAUAAAAGCAGUUUACAACCCAUAGGGCAGUCUUCCUGCACGCGGCAUGGCUGGUUCAGAGUUGCCUCCAUUGACCAAUAUUCCUUACUGCUGCCUCCCGUAGGAGUCUGGUCCGUGUCUCAGUACCAGUGUGGGGGCCAUCCUCUCAGAUCCCCUAGUCAUCGUCGCCUUGGUGGGCCGUUACCCCGCCAACUAGCUAAUGACACGCAUGCCCAUCUCCAUCCUAUAAAUAUUUGAUCAUUGCCCAGGUGGGACUGUGAUUUUAUGCGGUGUUAAAUCCGGUAUUUCUCCGGGCUACUCCCCCAGAUAGAAGGUAGGUUGCAUACGCGUUACGCACCCGUGCGCGGUCUCGAAGGUUGCAAGCAACCUCUACCCCUCGACUUGCAUGUAUUAGGCCUGCCGCUACGCGUUCAUCCUGAGCCAGGAGUCAAACU